rnacentral:rRNA from 1 species
GAUGAACGCAGCGGCAGGCUUAACACAUGCAAGUCAGGGGUAACAUAGAAAAGCUUGCUUUUCUGAUGACGACCGGCGCACGGGUGCGUAACGCGUAUACAACCUACCUUUUAGCGGGGAAUAGCCCAGGGAAACUUGGAUUAAUGCCCCAUAGUAUAUAGACUUCUCCUGAAGUUUAUAUUAAACAUUUAUGGCUAUUAGAUGGGUAUGCGUCCUAUUAGUUAGUUGGUAAGGUAACGGCUUACCAAGGCAGCGAUAGGUAGGGGUCCUGAGAGGGAGAUCCCCACACUGGUACUGAGACACGGACCAGACUCCUACGGGAGGCAGCAGUGAGGAAUAUUGGACAAUGGGCGAGAGCCUGAUCCAGCCAUGCCGCGUGCAGGAAGACUGCCCUAUGGGUUGUAAACUGCUUUUACAGAGGAAGAACCACCCCCACGUGUGGGGGUUUGACGGUACUCUGCGAAUAAGGAUCGGCUAACUCCGUG